AUUUGUACCUUCAAGCACUGCUUGGUGUUGGGUGUUUGUCCCCGUUUUACACGCGGGACUCGCCUUAAAGUGAUUGGCAGCCGGCGUACUCGCCUCGGAGCGCAGCACAUUUUGCGCCCCUUGACCUGAACGUUGGCGUCCAGUAAGCCUAUACUUUUACUCUUGACCUCGGAUCAGGUAGGGAUACCCGCUGAACUUAA
rnacentral:misc_RNA from 1 species